UCAGAUGAGGAGAAAAAGGCCCUUGAAUCUGAAUGCCGGGAGCUGCGUCGGAAGCAGGAGUCUCUGGAGAAUGAGUUCAAGCGGCUGAAAUCAGUUCCCAUCACCCUGGAAUCAGAAUGCAAACACCCUGUGGAUGGCAGAACAGUCCAGCAGGAACCCCCAUCCACUAGGGCAUCUCUGAGCCGAUUCUCCAGCAACGAUGAAGGAGGAAUCAGAUCCAAUCCACAGCGCCUGGGAAGGAAUCUCCCCUAAAGGGAAAACAGAGACGUGGGGAUGUUCCUGAUGUUUCCUCCUCCGUGAGCUCAAAGGAAACCCCCCCACACACUGACUUGUGAUACUUAGAACUGAACCCCACAUACAUCGGACUGUGCUGAUUGGCGGGAACUGUGUUAGUGUGUCUGUAAAAUGGGGAAAUUCCAUACACACCGCGUGGGGAUGUGGAAAGGGAGGGUUUCAUAGUGGACCUGACUCACUCUCAUUGCAGACAUACACACACGUGGCUCCUGCCAGCUUCAGACACUGAGCAGCACCCCAAGGGUUGAGUCCAUUCCUCUAACUGCCCCUGGGCUCUGGCCGGGCUCACAGGGAUCAGGGACGAUGCUGCGGAAGCUUCUCGUGGAACAAGGACGUGGGGAAGUUCAGACACUGUUGGAAAUUGCCUCCCUCAGGAGGGAGGGGUGACAGCGUUUGUGUCCCCCACAGGCUCUCACUCGGGAAUUCUCCUGCUGGAUCAACCCCAGAUGCCCUCAGCAAACCCUGAUUUCAGAGAAACCACAUUUCCUUGGGGCAUUUCUCCACCCAGGAAAUGCUGAUCAGACUGGUGCUCUGCUGCUUCUUCCACUAGCCCUAGGCAGGAGCCGAGAGGGGGAAAGGAGCAAUGGGGAAGUGCCCCCAGCUGCUGCCUGUGUGCAGGGAGCUGGCAGAGGAUGAAAUACACCCUGUCUGUGUGUCCAUACACCCUGUCUGUCUGUCUGUACAGCCUGGAGCUCUCUGUUCUGGCCACUCCUAGACCACCAGGCCUUCACCAGGUGCUGGAGGUGGAUCAUCUGAGCUGGGCUGUUCUAAACUCCCAAGGACGGCAGCCAAAAUCCCACCCAUUCCCAGAGCAACACAGUGAUACCGGUAUGAACUAGAUAUACUCAGAGGUGGGGGCGGGGAGUAGUCACAGGACCAUUCACAGAAUCCCAGAGAUUCCCCCAGACCCCAUUUCUGCUUUGCCCCAUCUCCCUCCAAUCCCUUCAAGGCCAAAUCCAACCUCCAAGGAGAGCUCUCUCCAGGCCCAUCAGUGCUGUGUGGCCCAUGGCCAAACUCACCUGUGUGUGGCCCAGGCUCUCCUCAUGUAGUCUCAUGGGUGGUGAUGGUUUAGAGGCUUUGCCCCAGGAAUGUCCCUGUUAAAAAUCUGGGAGAGUGUCAGAAAUGGGAGGGGGGAAUUUGGGGGUUACUUUUUAUUUAGAGAAAACUUUUUUGGCACUUUGUCAGGCAAUUCCAGCCCAGAAUAGUACUUGAUGUCAUUUUAAGUUUUGAUAAGAAAAAUGGCUGGAAAUUUCAGUGGUUUGUCUCCCCCUCCCCUUGUUCCCAUUUUAGGGGCUGAAG